AGUAAUGCGUGACCAACCUCGCCCCAUGCUCCAGAAUAGCUCUUGGAAACGGGUGGUAAUGCUGGAUGCUCCAACUUGACGCAUGUCUUGUUGGGAAAGUGUUUAGUGGCAUGGGAUGGGGUCGCGUCCUAUCAGCUUGUAGGCGGGGUAAUGGCCCACCUAGGCUUCGACGGGUAGCCGGCCUGAGAGGGCGGACGGCCACAUUGGGACUGAGAUACGGCCCAGACUCCUACGGGAGGCAGCAGCU
rnacentral:rRNA from 1 species